rnacentral:Y_RNA from 1 species
GGCUGGUCCGAUGGUAGUGGGUUAUCAGAACUUAUUAACAUUAGUGUCACUAAAGUUGGUAUAGGACUCCCUACUGCUGAAUUUGACUGGCUUUUA